GUCUCAGGCCGUAUCAGCCUGAAGGCGCCCGAUCUCGUCUGAUCUCGGAAGCUAAGCAGGGUCGGGCCUGGUUAGGAUCUUGGAUGGGAGACCACCUUGGAAUCCCGGGUGCUCGAGGCU
rnacentral:rRNA from 1 species